rnacentral:lncRNA from 1 species
UCUUCCCCAAAUCUUGUUCUUCCCGUUUGCACCUUCAUCCCCAAAUCUCGUAGGUAUUCAAGUAGGCGUCUUUGAGGUUGGAGAGGGCGGCCUUGGCGGUCCGCGUUGUAGGGGAACUGGGCCAUUUGGAGCUUGGUGUAGGCGGCCUUGGCGGUGGAUGGUGGCGAAGAGCUUGGCGACGAAGGCUUCCAUGGCGGCGGGGUUCCUGCAGUCCUCCUUGGCUUUCUCGGCAUCCUCAGCCUCGAAUUGACGCGACUCGCAGCAGUGGAGCUUGUCUUGAGGGAUCAAGAGGCAGAAUCCUCCUGGGUUGGAGGUGUCUUGAGCCGAAAACCAGGAGGUGGGGUUUUGCUGCGAAAAUCCUAAAUCCGAAGCGGGUUGUUCUCGCUGCUUCUUCAGGGACGGCGGCGAGCCAUCGU